rnacentral:rRNA from 1 species
CCUACGGGAGGCAGCAGUGAGGAAUAUUGGUCAAUGGCCGGAAGGCUGAACCAGCCAUGCCGCGUGAAGGUCAGUGCCCUAUGGGCGUUAAACUUCUUUUGUGCGGGAGCAAUACUGGUCACGUGUGGCCAGACGAGAGUACCGUACGAAUAAGCAUCGGCUAACUCCGUGCCAGCAGCCGCGGUAAUACGGGGGAUGCACGCGUUAUCCGGAUUUAUUGGGUUUAAAGGGUGCGUAGGCUGUGAGGUAAGUCAGCGGGGAAAUGCCCCCGCUCAACGGGGUGAAGUGCCAUUGAUACUGCCUUGCUGGAAUGCGGAUGCCGUGGGAGGAAGGUGUGGUGUAGCGGUGAAAUGCAUAGAUAUCACACAGAACACCGAUUGCGAAGGCAUCUCACGAAUCCGCGAUUGACGCUGAUGCACGAAAGCGUGGGUAUCAAACAGGAUUAGAUACCCCUGUAGUC